rnacentral:rRNA from 1 species
AACGUAGGAGACAAACGUUAUCCGGAGUUACUGGGCGUAAAGGGCGUGUAGGUGGUUUCGUAAGUCUGGCGUGAAAUUUUUCGGCUUAACCGGGAAAGGUCGUCGGAUACUGCGGAACUAGAGGACGGUAGAGGCGUGUGGAAUUCCGGGUGUAGUGGUGAAAUGCGUAGAGAUCCGGAGGGACACCAGUGGCGAAGGCGACACGCUGGGCCGUACCUGACACUGAUGCGCGACAGCAUGGGGAGCAAACAGG